rnacentral:miRNA from 1 species
GUGCCAGGAGCUGCGUUUUCG